GUCUACGGCCGUACCACCCUGAACACGCCCGAUCUCGGCUGAUCUCGGAAACUAAGCAGGGUCGGUCCUGGUUAGUACUUGGAUGGGGGACCGCUUGGGAAUACCGGAUGCUGUAGGCU
rnacentral:rRNA from 1 species